rnacentral:misc_RNA from 1 species
AAAUUAUAUACUUUCAAAGUGGCAUGUCAACUAUUCAUGAGCAUUGAAGACAAAAAUGAAAUUGAAAGGCUUUCUAGGGAGUUCAACCUUUUAUUGAAAGGACUAAUUUCCCUCCCUAUAAAUUUACCUGGUACAUCAUUUUACAAAGCAAUGAAAGGUACAACUGCUAUUAGGAAAGAAUUAUUACAAGUUGUAAAAAAAAG